GAUUAAGUAACUUGCCCAGGGUCACAUGGGAAGCCUAUGCCAGAAAUGGAACAUGAGAUCUCACAAGUCCCAGUCUAGGUGAUAAUUCUCUUCUUGAAGAAGCCAAACAUUAUUACAGUGGUUUGACAGCCUUCAGCUAGUGGAACCAUGAUGUCGCUGCUGCUUUCGGGACCUUGUACAUCCAACAAAGGAUGGAAGAACUGGCUCCUUGUUGAUAAAAUUCAAAGGAGUAAAUGACAGCACAAGGUACAAGGCAAGGAAGAACUUAAGUGAUUAGAAGAAAAAGCAAUUGGGUAAUCGCCAAAACCCAUCAUGAAGGAGUUGACUCACUCUCACUAUAGGUGUUAAAAAAAUAAAGAAAAUAAAACGUUAGCAGGAUUAGUUUGGAAGAAGAUGCUACUCAGUGCAGUGAAGUGGCUGGGAAGAAUCCAGGAAUGUUUUCCAACUGCACCCUCUGUGAGAAAGCUAGUAUCAAAGGUGCUACCAUCAUCUUUGUACAGGAGGACCAAAGGCACGUAGAAAGGAAAGGAAGGCCCCUUGAAUACUUUUUCAGUUUGAAAUUCCUGGUUGUUUGUGUGAAGAAAAUCUUUGUGUUUGAUCACACUUGGUUUGUUUGUUCUCGUGGUUUCCUUUAUCACUGUGCGGGCAUCUAUAGCAUUUAACAAUGUGUGUUUUGUUUAGCUGUGGGAGAAGAAAAAGAUAUUCUCACCUUAAUGAAAACGAGGCUAUUAGCAAUAAUAUUUGAUUCCAGUCGUAUACCCAAGCGAUUACUUGGUGUACAUAACACAGAUUUUCAAAGGGACACAUGGGAGUUAGGUCCCAAUUGCCAUGUGUCCCUUUGAAAAUCUGUGUUAUGUGCACCAAGUAAUCGUUUGGGUGUGCGACUCCCAUUUGUUCCUUUGAAAAGUUACCUCCAUGUGCCAAUAAGCAAUAUUAAGAGUCAGGAAGAAUGUGGGCUCCAGGACCCAGACCACCAAAGCUGUUCAGGCACCUAGCUCCCAUUGACUUCAGGACUUGAAUGUGCCUAAAGACGUUUGGUCUGGGAGCUCUUGAGCUACUGAAUUGAGACCAAUUCCCAUUGAGAUCAGCAGAAACUGGGGGCUCAGCAUCUCCAUAGGAUUGUGACUAAACUCCUUAGUCACCAACACAAUUAAACUGGUACUUAAGUCCUUUGAAUUGAAGGGACUUAAGUACUUGCUUAACUUUUAACCACAUGCUUGGUGUUUUAUUGAAUUGAGAUGGCCUCAGGGACAUAUUUAAGUGCUUUGCUGAACUGUGACCUAAAUGAACAGUUUUGUAUAAUUCUGUACCAAAGUUCUUUUCUGAA